GUGUCAGCAGCCGCGGUAAUACGUAGGGGGCGAGCGUUGUCCGAAGUUACUGGGCGUAAAGCGCGCGUAGGCGGUUUCUUAAGUGGCCGGUGAAACCCCCGGGCUCAACUCGGGGCAGUCUGGUCAUACUGGGAAGCUGGAGUAUGGGAGGGGAGAGCGGAACUCCUGGUGUAGCGGUGAUAUGCGUAGAGAUCAGGAAGAACACCCGUGGCGAAGGCGGCUCUCUGGACCAUUACUGACGCUGAGGCGCGAAAGCCAGGGGAGCGAACGGGAUUAGAAACCCCCGUAGUCC
rnacentral:rRNA from 1 species